ensembl:lncRNA
GUGUACUGGGACGCGAGCGGUAUAUAUUCCCAAUAUAAUCAGCCGUAUAUCCUGAAUAGAACCAUUUUCUGCACUUUUUAAUGCACUUUUUUGUUGUAGGCUACAGAGUGUUCCAUUCUUUCAGCAGUCAGUUAUAGGCCUAACAUCGGCUAUUCAAGGGGGGCUCAAAGAUGACCACAUCAAAAUAGUUUUAUUUUACUCAUUUAUUUAUUUAAACUUAUUUUGUACCUUGUUGGUAGCCUAUGCCUGCUGGAAAAAAAUGAAAAAAAAUGUUCAGUGUUAAAUAAAUAUUUUUAAAUUGUUUUUGUAAUUGAUUUUUUUCUUUGAAAAGCAAGACAAAAUACUAAAAAGCACAUUUUGACUAUUUAAUUUAUGCAGUGGUGAAAAAAGGCAAAAUGAAUGGAAAAAAUGCGACUUUUCGUAGGUGUUUUCGUCCUUGACUUUUCUUUCCGUAGGUGUUUUCGUCCUUGACUUUUCUUUCCGUAGGUGUGUUUUCAUAGUAGACAACCACAUUAGUUUGAGAAGAACUACAUCAAACAGAACUAAUCUACGACAUUUAUAAUUUCUGAAGUCCAUAGAGAAUAAAUUAAAAUGUACGUGUAUGGUUUGAUAUGGAGGACUGAAUGCUAGCCGCCUAAUAAAUGCUACUUCAUGUGCUAACUGCUGAAUGCAAAUAUGUUCACACACGAACAAACUUAUAGUAGCUAACAUUCUCUUUCAAAAAUCAGAAAAGCUGAUCAGUAAACUGUCUCUUUACCUGCUGAUAUUUCAUCACCAAAAACAUUCGUUUCUGUGUGUGUUUGUGGCGUUUCGCCUGGACUGUUCAAUCUCUGGCAGCAAUAGAGCAGUAACGAGCUUAAGGCAUUUAUUGCAGCAGGAACUGCUCAUCUACUUGUACAAAGUACAGCCGGACUCUAGACCUUUCAGUCUGUGUCUUUUGGGUCACGUUUCUUUAUAAGUGCUAUAGUCUGUAGAGGAAAUGCUUAGUCAUAUUAGAAUUUCAAUUAGAAGUGUUGGGUUGGUAAUUGAUAUUAUAAUUUCAAUUUAGUUGCUAAUUUGCAAAUUAUUCAGAGAGCUUGGGAUGCCUGGUCGGACAUCUCUAACAGUAUUUAGCAUUACUGGCCAGAUUGCAUGUUGCAAAAAAACCAUAAUUGCUCAUUAUAACCAUCAUGAUUUCAUUAAUAUGAUUUCCUUCAUGAAUUAUUAAUGAAUAAAAAGGCUAGAGCUGAUUGUAUCAUAAGAUGCAGGCUAUAUGCAUCCAUGAUGCUCAGACGUAAUAGCCAUUCUGAUUGAGUUUCCACUCAAUUACAGUUUCCACGGACAACAGAUUUGUUAUAAUGAUAGUUUCAUCUGAGCCUGGAAACAGACCACAGUUUCCUUUCCACUGUUAUAUAAUAUGGCUUUUACAGAGGGCAUGGCAUUGGUGAAGUCCUGUAAUCGAAUAGCACCGAUUUAUACGUAAAGCAUAAAAGUAAUGUGGCUUUGGGCGUAUUUAUGUCGCCCUUAUGACAGCUUGAGAAUGUUUGUUGGAU